UACGUAGGUCCCGAGCGUUGUCCGGAUUUAUUGGGCGUAAAGCGAGCGCAGGUGGUUUAUUAAGUCUGGUGUAAAAGGCAGUGGCUCAACCAUUGUAUGCAUUGGAAACUGGUAGACUUGAGUGCAGGAGAGGAGAGUGGAAUUCCAUGUGUAGCGGUGAAAUGCGUAGAUAUAUGGAGGAACACCGGUGGCGAAAGCGGCUCUCUGGACUGUAACUGACACUGAGGCUCGAAAGCCAGGGGAGCGAACCGG
rnacentral:rRNA from 1 species